UACGGGGGGAGCAAGCGUUGUUCGGAUUUACUGGGCGUAAAGGGCGCGUAGGCGGCGUAACAAGUCACUUGUGAAAUCUCCGGGCUUAACCCGGAGCGGCCAAGUGAUACUGUUGUGCUAGAGUGCGGAAGGGGCUACUGGAAUUCUCGGUGUAGCGGUGAAAUGCGCAGAUAUCAGGAGGAACACCGGUGGCGAAGGCGGAUCUCUGGGCCGAUACUGACGCUGAGGAGCGAAAGCGUGGGGAGCGAACAGG
rnacentral:rRNA from 1 species